AGCGGCCGCUGCCCUGACCCGACGGGUAUCGGCCGGCUCUCCCCCUCCACCCAGGACGACAUGAACGACCGAGGCCAAGGAGUCCUCUCCUUGGGCCUCUGCAUCCCCCCAUCCUUGGCUCUGGGGUAGGCCCAGGGAGGAGACACCCCCAACCCCUAUCCGGUCUGUCCUGGAGAAAAGAGACUGCCCUUCCAUGCCCCUGAGUGAGGGGCCUGGGGCCCAGGCUGCCUGUGUUCCCCAAGGGCAAGGGUCUCUCUGUUGAGGAGGAGGGGCCUGUCAGCCACAACUUCUUUCCUCCUGAGCGCCCCAUCUCCCUCUCUGCACCCUGCAGUUCCCACCCCUCCGUAUUUAUUUCCCUGGUCCCGCCGACAGUCCCUCCUUGUCUGUCUCCGGGAUUCAGGCCUCCCUCCCUGACAUGGAGAGUAACCUGUCUGGCCUGGUGCCUGCUGCCGGGCUGGUGCCUGCGCUGCCACCUGCUGUGACCCUGGGGCUGACGGCUGCCUACACCACCCUGUAUGCCCUGCUCUUCUUCUCCGUCUAUGCCCAGCUCUGGCUGGUGCUUCUGUAUGGGCACAAGCGUCUCAGCUAUCAGACGGUGUUCCUGGCCCUCUGUCUGCUCUGGGCCGCCUUGCGUACCACCCUCUUCUCCUUCUACUUCCGAGAUACUCCCCGCGCCAACCGCCUGGGGCCCUUGCCCUUCUGGCUUCUCUACUGCUGCCCCGUCUGCCUGCAGUUCUUCACCUUGACGCUUAUGAACCUCUACUUUGCCCAGGUGGUGUUCAAGGCCAAGGUGAAGCGUCGGCCGGAGAUGAGCCGAGGCUUGCUCGCUGUCCGAGGGGCCUUUGUGGGGGCCUCGCUGCUCUUUCUGCUGGUGAACGUGCUGUGUGCUGUGCUCUCCCAUCGGCGCCGGGCACAGCCCUGGGCCCUGCUGCUUGUCCGCGUCCUGGUGAGCGACUCCCUGUUCGUCAUCUGCGCGCUGUCUCUUGCUGCCUGCCUCUGCCUCGUCGCCAGGCGGGCGCCCUCCACUAGCAUCUACCUGGAGGCCAAGGUAGGGCCGCAGCACUGAUGCCCAGGUGUCUUUUGGGUCUCUCGGCAGCGGUUCUCAGGGUGUAGAG
rnacentral:sRNA from 1 species